CUUUGGAGAGUGGUAUUCAGAGGUAUUUCUUAAAUUUUAAAAUUAUAUGCUUCAACUGUUGGUAAUUUUAUGUGUAGGAGUAUUUUUUUUCUGAUUAUAGCUUGGGAGAUCAGGUAGGAUUGAUUGAUACGGACACAACGCAUAUGUAACUUUGUGAAAGACAAAAGAAACAAGGUUUACAGUUAAGGACAGUUCUUUUGGAACUUAAGAUAUGGAAAUUCUGUAUGAUAGAAUGUUCUAUUUCGCACAGGUUUUGUAAAAGAUCUCCUUCGAGCAAUUUUUUAUUCCACAAUCCAAUGCACUAAUGCAGUAUUUUAAGAGCAUGUCCUUGGAAAAUUUUUAUAAAUGUUUUUCUGUUUGAUUGUACACUGAAGUAAAAUUAAUCAUCUAGCCAAAUACUAUGAUUGUCCCAUCCUGGUAAGGAAAAAUCCCCCUCCCCCCCAAAAAAGAGAACAACACCACUCUUCCCAACCGAGAGAGCAUUGACACACAAAUUGAUGAUAAACAGUGGAUGGGGCUUAUGUAUUAUAUGUUUCUGUUCUACUUUUGGGACUCUUACUGUCGAUUUGUUUCCUUUUUGGCCUGUGUAGGUGGUCGUCAAUGGUGA
rnacentral:misc_RNA from 1 species